GACGAACGCUGGCGGCGUGCUUAACACAUGCAAGUCGAACGAAGUGGCGCACGCGUGAGAAAUACGUUGGUAACCUUCCCUCCUUUUUGGGAUAAGCUUUGGAAACGGGGUCUAAUACCGACUAACGGGUGAUGUGCUCGCGGCCUGUUAGCUUGUUGGGGGGGUGACGGCCUACCAAGGUGGUGACGGGUAGGCGGCCUGGUAGGGUGACCUGCCACAUUGGGACUGAGAUAAGGCCUAGACGCCUACGGGAUGCAGCAGUUGGGGAUAUUGGACAAUGGGCGACAGCCUGAUGCAGCGACGCCGCGUGGGGGAUGAAGGCUUUCGGGUUGUAAAACUAUUUCGCUAGCGAACGGGUAGGUGGAGAAGAAGCGCCGGCUAACUACGUGCCAGCAGCCGCGGUAAUAC
rnacentral:rRNA from 1 species